CCUACGGGGUGCAGCAGUGAGGAAUAUUGGUCAAUGGACGAGAGUCUGAACCAGCCAAGUAGCGUGAAGGAUGACUGCCCUAUGGGUUGUAAACUUCUUUUAUAUGGGAAUAAAACGUUCCACGUGUGGGAUUUUGUAUGUACCAUAUGAAUAAGGAUCGGCUAACUCCGUGCCAGCAGCCGCGGUAAUACGGAGGAUCCGAGCGUUAUCCGGAUUUAUUGGGUUUAAAGGGAGCGUAGGUGGAUUGUUAAGUCAGUUGUGAAAGUUUGCGGCUCAACCGUAAAAUUGCAGUUGAAACUGGCAGUCUUGAGUACAGUAGAGGUGGGCGGAAUUCGUGGUGUAGCGGUGAAAUGCUUAGAUAUCACGAAGAACUCCGAUUGCGAAGGUAGUUCACUGGACUGCAACUGACACUGAGGCUCGAAAGUGUGGGUAUCAAACAGGAUUAGAUACCCGAGUAGUC
rnacentral:rRNA from 1 species